rnacentral:rRNA from 1 species
GACAUAGGUGGCGAACGUUAUCCGGAAUUAUUGGGCGUAAAGGGUGCGUAGGUGGUUUAAUAAGUUACUGGUGGUAAAUCGGGGCUCAACCUCGUGGAAGUCAGUAAUACUAUUAGACUAGAGGACCGGAGGAGUUAACGGAAUGGCUCAUGUAGGGGUAAAAUCCGCAAAUAUGAGUUAGAACACCAAUUGGCGAAGGCAGCUUACUGGGCUGUAACUGACGCUGAUGCACGAAAGUGUGGGGAUCAAACAGG